rnacentral:rRNA from 1 species
CAGCAGCCGCGGUAACACGUAGGGUGCGAGCGUUAAUCGGAAUUACUGGGCGUAAAGCGUGCGCAGGCGGUUAUAUAAGACAGAUGUGAAAUCCCCGGGCUCAACCUGGGACCUGCAUUUGUGACUGUAUAGCUAGAGUACGGUAGAGGGGGAUGGAAUUCUGCGUGUAGCAGUGAAAUGCGUAGAUAUGCGGAGGAACACCGAUGGCGAAGGCAAUCCCCUGGACCUGUACUGACGCUCAUGCACGAAAGCGUGGGGAGCAAACAGGAUUAGAUACCCCAGUAGUCCCUGUCUCUUAUAC